AUAUAUAUGGAAGAUGCAGUAUUCUAGUCAGACUUGACUACGAGGACGGCGAAGUAAUGGCGUCAAAGGGCACAUCGAUGAAGUUCCUGGUGCAAGCCUUGGUUGCCCAAACUGGGGUAUGUGCUGGGAGUUAAGAUUUUUGGGCAGUCUGUAACGGCAUACAGAUGGCGACCCAAUUAUCGCGGAGACCCAACAGGGUGGGCUCUACCACUCUCUGGGAAUAGAACCUGCAUUGCGGUAAAAGUCGUGUGCAGUGUAGCCUACUUUGAGUGAAUAUACUGGGGAUCAAGUGUUAAACAUAUUUAUUUUGCUCGCGAACGAGAUAAAUAUCUGCUUGUGAAACUAUAUUUGCAAAACAAGUGAAUUGUAGUUUGGUUUGCCAGAGAAAAUCUCUAGACUGUCGAACUUUCGGGCAUAGGUAGGAUUAUAGUGUGUUCUGAGUGGCGAUUCGGUGCAGUGGCUUGCUUAAAAGGAAACUGCUCAUUUCGGUGACGAGGAGUGCGAGUCUAGGGAAAUCCGACCGAACCUAUGACACAAGGUUUACUAUCUUUGCUGUCUUC
rnacentral:sRNA from 1 species